GAGUUUUUAGAUUUUAGAUUUAACAGGUUAAGGUUGAAUAUAUCUUAUCUUUAGUGGUUAUGAGAUCAUAGAUUAAUGCUUUUUUUCUUUUUUAAAAGAUAAACAUUAUGAAUGAUGAAAAAAUUAACAGAGUAAAUAAAGCUUUUGUAAAUGUACAAAAGGAACUUGCACAUUUCUCAAAAGGCCCUUCAGUUGAACCUCUGCAGAAAGAACUGAUUCCUCAGCAGCGUCAUGAAAGCAAACCAGUUAAUGUUGAUGAAGCUACAAAAUUAAUGGCUCUGUUGUAAUAUAGUGGUGAUGCAUCAAAUUCUCCACAAAGACCAAUAAAUUAAAUGUUUUAUACAA